CUUUUCAUCACAACUAGUGCAAUAGAGGAGCCCCGGAGCGCCUGCACCGCUUUCUCUGUUGCUGUCGUUCGAAAAAAAAUCAGAUUCCGUAACUUCUUUGCCUCCUCUUUAAGCCUGCGCAACAAAGGAGCCCUGAAGCCCCUCCACCCCUGUCUCUAGUCAUAUACAACGUGGUUUGCCUCUGUUGCUGCUGUUCGAAGAAAACAUCACGGAUUCUUGUUGUUGCCGUUCGCCUCCUCUUUAAUUCCGGUCCUUGGAAAUGCAAAAGGAGCUGUGACUGUGGUGGUUUCUAUUCUAAUCUUUAGAAAUCCUAUUUCAGUGAUUGGAAUGCUUGGUUACUCGCUAACAGUUAUGGGAAUUAUCUUUUACAGCGAAGUGAAGAAACUGUCUGUGCUGAAACGGCAUACAAAUACAGGAAUGUGUUUUCUUGAAUUUUAUCUUUUUUUAUUAUGAGGGUCGCCAACAUGAUUCUUGGAGCUGAGAUUGAAAACACAUUAGUUCGAGGCUCGUUCAGAGAGAUGGAAUGUUUCUAAGGGUGGUUGCCCCUCUAUGAGAUUUAAGAAUUUUCUCAAAUUAGACCGAUGAUUCUCUGAAACUCAACAACCCUUCUCUCUUCUACACAAAAAAAAAACUGAGAUUGGUGCUAUUCAGCCGAUUUCAUAUAUUGCACCCUACAAAUUCCUUUUGUCGGAGACCGGCGAUAGGGUUUCCACCUGUAUCAAGCAUCAACAACAACGACUAGCUUAGGAAAGGCUAGGAAAAUCUCAAUAAGAGGACUCAUUGGUCUGUCUUUUCUUCCCAUGAUAUAGGAAUCUGUAGUAUUCUUUUCAGGGACAGAAUUGAGUCUCUAUGCCCAAUUUAUUUUUAUUUUUUUAGUCAUUUUGACAUUUCUUGAUUAAUUAAUGGAAGAUAUUCUGAUAUUUUUACCAUUA